rnacentral:piRNA from 1 species
UCUCUGGGUNUGGCUUAAGGUCAUUAAGAG